rnacentral:rRNA from 1 species
GGGUAACGGCUCACCAAGGCAACGAUGCGUAGCCGACCUGAGAGGGUGAUCGGCCACAUUGGGACUGAGACACGGCCCAAACUCCUACGGGAGGCAGCAGUAGGGAAUCUUCCGCAAUGGACGAAAGUCUGACGGAGCAACGCCGCGUGAGUGAAGAAGGCCUUCGGGUCGUAAAACUCUGUUGCCGGGGAAGAACAAGUGCCGUUCGAACAGGGCGGUGCCUUGACGGUACCCGGCCAGAAAGCCACGGCUAACUACGUGCCAGCAGCCGCGGUAAUACGUAGGUGGCAAGCGUUGUCCGGAAUUAUUGGGCGUAAAGCGCGCGCAGGCGGCUUCUUAAGUCUGAUGUGAAAUCUUGCGGCUCAACCGCAAGCGGUCAUUGGAAACUGGGAGGCUUGAGUGCAGAAGAGGAGAGUGGAAUUCCACGUGUAGCGGUGAAAUGCGUAGAGAUGUGGAGGAACACCAGUGGCGAAGGCGGCUCUCUGGUCUGUAACUGACGCUGAGGCGCGAAAGCGUGGGGAGCAAACAGGAUUAGAUACCCUGGUAGUCCACGCCGUAAACGAUGAGUGCUAAGUGUUAGAGGGUUUCCGCCCUUUAGUGCUGCAGCUAACGCAUAAGCACUCCGC